AGCAGGGAGGACAAACGGUUAAGUCGCCAUCCUCAUAAGGUGGAAAAGCGGGUUCGAUUCCCGCCCCUGCUCCCA
rnacentral:tRNA from 1 species